CCACCUACGGUCCAUCACACCUUACAAAGACGUCGUCUUCCUCACUCUCUUAUUUUGCAGCGCCGAUGUGGCGUGUCGUGUGGGAACGUUUCCGUAACACUUCUAAUCGUCAUUGAAAAAUGACAUUUAGAGUCCCUAAUAACUUCCUCCAGCCAUCUCUCCACCUCUACAACUUCCCACCAUAGGUUUUCAAAUCCCUAAUUUUAACGAGCUACUUCUCAGAGACUCCUUCACCUCCAUAUAAAAUUUUGAUAUGAGUAACAGACCACCAUAUUGCCGUUCCAUCAAAACAAAUUCAUUCGCAAAAAUGUCUCAAAAACAUAUGUUGUUUCCAGGGUGGCUGAGGCCAGGUUGAUUUUCAAGCUGUAUCAUUUUUAGGAAGCUUGGAAUCCAGCAGAAGAUGGGAUGCUAAUUACUCUUGAGCUUCUCCUGAUCGACGAGAAGGAUUUAUUGCACCUAAUCGUGUACGUCAUUGUGAAGCUUUUCUCAAGCUGAGCUCCACCUCUAUAGCCUCACCAACUUCUUCGCGACGAAGAACAAAGGAAAUGGGCUUAGAUGUUAACAUGACUAGGAAUGUUGGUCUUCAAGGUUCCCUUGAUUCUAUUGGUGAAACAAGUUGAAGGAAUGGUUCAGAAGGGAACACACGGCGACAUAUUUCUAGAAAAACUGAUUCUAACUGAUGGUUAAGAGCCUUACGCAUAAGAAACCGAACGUUUUUGAUCAGAAGCUAAUAAAUUUUUCACUUUUCACAUGGCACUAAUCUGAAAGAGCCUACACAAGUACAGAGGUAAUGGUUCGCUAUAUUUUACAUUCUUUUUGUUCCCCAUAUGAUUCUAGAUAACCUAGCAAGAUGAAAGUGCUCUUAGGUAUCUUUUUACAAACUUUACUUAUGCGGUAAAGAAGAUAGGCUUAUUUAUGAAGAAGAGUCAGGUCUUUGUGUUUA